rnacentral:rRNA from 1 species
UGGGGAAUAUUGCACAAUGGGGGAAACCCUGAUGCAGCGACGCCGCGUGAGCGAAGAAGGCUUUCGAGUCGUAAAGCUCUGUCCUAUGAGAAGAUAAUGACGGUAUCAUAGGAGGAAGCCCUGGCUAAAUACGUGCCAGCAGCCGCGGUAAUACGUAUGGGGCGAGCGUUGUCCGGAAUUAUUGGGCGUAAAGGGUACGUAGGCGGAUAAGCAAGUUAGAAGUGAAAUCCUAUAGCUCAACUAUAGUAAGCUUUUAAAACUGCUCAUCUUGAGGUAUGGAAGGGAAAGUGGAAUUCCUAGUGUAGCGGUGAAAUGCGCAGAUAUUAGGAGGAAUACCGGUGGCGAAGGCGACUUUCUGGCCAUAUACUGACGCUGAGGUACGAAAGCGUGGGUAGCAAACAGG